rnacentral:rRNA from 1 species
GCUGGUGACCAAGAGUGAGGAUACCACCCGUUCCCAUCCCGAACACGGUCGUAAAGACUCAUAUCGGCGACAAUACUUGGCGGGUCACCGCCCGGAAAGAUAGCUCGUUGCCAGCA